rnacentral:snRNA from 1 species
AAGAGAAGAUUAGAUUCU